UGAGGAAUAUUGGGCAAUGCCCGCAAGGGUGACCCAGCAACGCCGCGUGGAGGAUGAAUGUCGUAAGAUUGUAAACUCCUGUUAGAGGGGAAGAAUAGUACCGGUUGGACCGGUAUAUGACUGUACCCUCAGAGAAAGCCCCGGCUGACUACGUGCCAGCAGCCGCGGUAAUACGUAGGGGGCAAGCGUUGUCCGGAUUUACUGGGUGUAAAGGGCGCGCAGGCGGGAUAAAAAGUCAGUGGUGAAAUCCUACAGCUUAACUGUAGAACUGCCUUUGAUACUUUUAUUCUUGAGUUCGGGAGAGAGAGACGGAAUUCCAGGUGUAGUGGUGAAAUACGUAGAUAUCUGGAAGAACACCAGUUGCGAAGGCGGUCUCCUGGUCCGACACUGACGCUGAGGCGCGAAAGCGUGGGGAGCAAACA
rnacentral:rRNA from 1 species